GUGCUCGCUUAGGCAGCACAGACACUGAAAUUGGACCGACGCAGAGAAAGAUUAGCAUGGCCCUGCACAAGGAUGACACGCAGGUUUGUGAAGCGGUCCGUGUAAAA